rnacentral:rRNA from 1 species
UUUAACUGAGCGUUCAGUUACUUGACGUAGACCCGAAACCGGGCGACCUACCCAUGAGCAGGAUGAAGCGAAAGUAAAAUUUCGUGGAGGUCCGAACCCACGAGCGUUGAAAAGCUCGGGGAUGACUUGUGGGUAGCGGUGAAAUUCCAAUCGAGCCCGGAGAUAGCUGGUUCUCCCCGAAAUAGCUUUAGGGCUAGCCUCAAGGUGAGAGAUACGGAGGUAGAGCACUGAAUGUCCUAGGGGGUAUUGCACCUACCGAAGACUAUCAAACUCCGAAUGCCGUCAUCUUAUACUUGGGAGUCAGACUGUGGGUGAUAAGAUUCAUAGUCGAAAGGGCAACAGCCCAGAUCGUCAGCUAAGGUCCCUAAAUGUAAGUUAAGUGGUAAAGGAUGUGGGAUUGCACAGACAACCAGGAUGUUGGCUUAGAAGCAGCCACUCAUUCAAAGAGUGCGUAAUAGCUCACUGGUCGAGUGAUCCUGCGCCGAAGAUUUCCGGGGCUAAAACUUACUACCGAAGCUACGGCAUCAUUAUGAUGGGUAGGGGAGCUUCCCAUACGGGUUGAAGCAUGACCGUAAGGACAUGUGGACAGUAUGGGAGUGAGAAUGUUGGCAUGAGUAGCGAGAUGUGGGUGAGAAUCCCACAGGCCGUAAACCCAAGGUUUCCAGGGGAAGGUUCGUCCGCCCUGGGUUAGUCGGGACCUAAGCUGAGGCCGAAAGGCGUAGGUGAUGGACAACAGGUUGAUAUUCCUGUACUACCGAUAACCGUUUGAGAGAAGGGAUGACACAGUAGGAUAAGCUAAGCACACUGUUGGUUAUGUGUGCCCAAGCAUUGAGGCAGUCAAAGUAGGCAAAUCCGCUUUGAUAAUGCUGGGAUGUGAUGGGGAGCGAAAUUUAGUAGCGAAGUAGCUGAUUUCACACUGUCAAGAAAAGUCUCUAUCGAGGUUAAAGGUACCCGUACCGCAAACCGACACAGGUG